AGAGUUUGAUCAUGGCUCAGAGCGAACGCUGGCGGCAGGCCUAACACAUGCAAGUCGAGCGCCCGUAGCAAUACGGGAGCGGCAGACGGGUGAGUAACACGUGGGAACGUACCCUUCGGUUCGGAAUAACCCAGGGAAACUUGGAUUAAUACCGGAUACGUCCGUAAGGAGAAAGAUUUAUCGCCGAAGGAUCGGCCCGCGUCCGAUUAGCUUGUUGGUGGGGUAAUGGCCCACCAAGGCUACGAUCGGUAGCUGGUCUGAGAGGAUGAUCAGCCACACUGGGACUGAGACACGGCCCAGACUCCUACGGGAGGCAGCAGUGGGGAAUAUUGGACAAUGGGCGCAAGCCUGAUCCAGCCAUGCCGCGUGAGUGAUGAAGGCCCUAGGGUUGUAAAGCUCUUUCGGCGGGGAAGAUAAUGACGGUACCCGCAGAAGAAGCCCCGGCUAACUUCGUGCCAGCAGCCGCGGUA
rnacentral:rRNA from 1 species